rnacentral:lncRNA from 1 species
GUCUAUGUGGGGAAAGAUAAAUCACGUUUGAGAUCUGCUAAGUCAUCACCUGCCUUUGUGGCCAAACCUGAAAGCCAGGCCCCGGGUCUCAUUUCCCCAACAACAGACUGUGAGAUACCAUGGAGACAAACUAGCGGCGAGUGACUUCAUUAAGUCUGCAUGGCAAGAGUGUUGGGAUGGUUCUUGAGGGUGCUGUGUGGCCGCUGUGGUGGGGCACAUGGGAGACGGGAACGGAGUCCAAACACCUUUCUGCCUGUGAUGGACUUGCCGGUGUAUGGCCUGCAGAAUCAGGGAGCCUGUGUACUUUUCAACACAGAGCCAUUAAGGGGGGAAGAGACACAAAUUCAACACAUAAGUGCCCCUCAAAUGAUCCACUCUACUGUGUGCACUGAAGUGUAUGCCUGAGCCCUUCAUCAUGUCCAUUUACUUGGGACACAGGAUUUGUUUGGUUUAUGGAAACUUCCAGGGGAAGCAGGAGGUUAGGACCGUGCAGCAUAUGAACUCUGGGAGCGCACUGUUCAGUCUGUAGUGGAGGCAUUUGGACACUCGGACUACGGAAGGAGGGACUUACUCUGUCACAUCUCAGCUGUGUGACUUUGAUCAUGUCCUUGGACUAGUCUGGCUUGCGGAAGGUGCUCCUAUUGACCUCAAAGAAGAGAGACAUGGCUUUGUGAUUAGCAAGGUGCUCCGCCCAUGGAAAAAAAAUGCAACAUGCCUUGCAUCAUUUUUGAAUGUGAACUUAGAUGACAGCAAUGUGGAAAUGGGGUGAAAUCACCAGAAAAACAGAUUUGUUGCUGCAAUAACAUUUCUUUCAAGAAAACCUGGUCCCUAGAGGUGGGCCUGGUUGCUGACAUUUGAAUACCUCCACAUUUCCAAGGAACAGAGUUCUUUUUCCCUGCGUGACUAGAAGCUUAAAACAUUACCCUCUAAUGAACACCAGAUGGUAGAUCUGGAAUGCCUGGCCUGCAAGCCUGGCCUGGAUGCCCCUUAGCUUGCUUCACUUAUACAGUACCUGGGCCAACAACUCAGCAGACUGAACAGGAGAGAGAAGCCUAGGGUUUAACCACCCUAUAUCACAAAGUACCUGUGGCUGCCAGGCGAUGCCAAUGACAUUCUCAGCCUGUGAUGUCACAGACAAAUCUUUUAGCAGAAAUGGUUGAUGGGCCACUGAGAAGCCAAUGCUUUGGCCUGCACUGUGUCCAUUCCCUUACUUGUUUCACAUCCUGCUUUCUAGAAAUAUCUAAAGAUGUCAUAUCCCUAUUUUUUACUUUUUCCUGUGGAAAAAAAAAAACCCACCAUGCUUGAAAUGCAC